rnacentral:rRNA from 1 species
UGAGGAAUAUUGGACAAUGGAGGCAACUCUGAUCCAGCCAUGCCGCGUGCAGGAAGACGGCCCUAUGGGUUGUAAACUGCUUUUAUACAGGAAGAACUGCAUUCUCGUGAGAGUGUUUGACGGUACUGUACGAAUAAGCACCGGCUAACUCCGUGCCAGCAGCCGCGGUAAUACGGAGGGUGCAAGCGUUAUCCGGAAUCAUUGGGUUUAAAGGGUCCGUAGGCGGGCGAUUAAGUCAGAGGUGAAAUCCCACAGCUCAACUGUGGAACUGCCUUUGAUACUGGUUGUCUUGAAUUUUAGUGAAGUAGAUAGAAUAUGUAGUGUAGCGGUGAAAUGCAUAGAUAUUACAUGGAAUACCGAUUGCGAAGGCAGUCUACUAACUAACAAUUGACGCUAAUGGACGAAAGCGUGGGGAGCGAACA